UCCUCUCUUUUUAAAUUAAAUUAUCGCACUUUGAAACUGUGUUUGUACCAAGCUAUGCUAUUUCCUAAAUAAGAUUUUGAUCAGUGCUAGUUUGCCAAGAGUUUUUUCAAACUCUGCUUGAAAUGAAAAAUACCCCAUUUGAUGCCCCUUUUCUAUAUCAAUAAUCUUGAAACAUUAUUAUUUGAUUUUGAGCCUGGUUGCAGUUGCAAUUUAAAAUGUUUUUGAUUUAGAAGAUGACAUGGGCCACCUUUCAUACAAGUCGCCAUGGAGACAAUUCCAGAGACACCAGAAAUAACAGCCGCAUUGGUCUUGAAGGGUGCUUAGUUGCUCUGAUGCUCAUCUUCAGUCUGUGGGAGCAUCUUCAUCUUAAUCAUAAGUCAUAUAAAUUGCAGGGAUUAUUUGGGUGUGGAAUAUUAGGACUUCGAUCAUCAAAUCUGUCUGCCUCUCAAUUUCACUGCUUGUUCCCCACCUCGUUGAAUUAGUUAUUUGAUCAAUCUCUGGGAGUCUCUCUUACUUGCACACAUGAUAAGGAUGUUGCAAGCAUGAUAAGAUUUUUGGUCGAUACCUACAACAAGCCAGUUCCAGCAAAUUUGGAGAUUCCUUCGAAAGACCAUCCUUAUGAUCCGACACAAGACUCGGUAGUGAAGUGCCUGUUUUCUUCGGAAUCAGUGGCAUCUGGAAGGCGUUAAGCAGAGAUAAGAAGCUUCAGCUCAUUUGUUGUUCAGCGCUCUAUCCCCCUCCCUCAGCUGUAUAUUGUGGAAUUGCUCGCGUUCACUACCUGCUGAAGUAGCUUCUCUUCCUGUCUUGAUCAUGUCACUGUAAUGGCAAGGGGGUGUGUUUUGAUUGAAUACUUGGAAUAAAUCAUUCUUAGGAGUGUCAUGGAACAACUUCGAUUAUGCUAAUUAGUUGGAUGCCUUGUUUAAUGUUCGCCCCCUCAGGCUCACAGUAGGGCUGGAGGGGGCCAUCUUUAUUUUAUAAGACAAGGCCCCAAAAUUUGAGUCUAAAACUGUGGCUGUACGUAAAUAAGCUUCGCUUGGUUGGGGAA